rnacentral:rRNA from 1 species
UACGAACCACCCAAACGUUAUUCGGAAUUACUGGGCCUAAAGGGUGCGUAGGCGGCGCGGAAAGUCAGGUGUGAAAUCCCUCGGCUCAACCGAGGAACUGCGCUUGAAACUACCGUGCUCGAGUAAGACAGAGGUGAGCGGAACUUCGGGUGGAGCGGUGAAAUGCGUUGAUAUCCGAAGGAACACCGGUGGCGAAAGCGGCUCACUGGGCCUUUACUGACGCUGAUGCACGAAAGCUAGGGGAGCAAACGGG